rnacentral:rRNA from 1 species
GGCCUAACACAUGCAAGUCGAGCGGAAACGACACUAACAAUCCUUCGGGUGCGUUAAUGGGCGUCGAGCGGCGGACGGGUGAGUAAUGCCUAGGAAAUUGCCUUGAUGUGGGGGAUAACCAUUGGAAACGAUGGCUAAUACCGCAUAAUGCCUACGGGCCAAAGAGGGGGAUCUUCGGGCCUCUCGCGUCAAGAUAUGCCUAGGUGGGAUUAGCUAGUUGGUGAGGUAAUGGCUCACCAAGGCGACGAUCCCUAGCUGGUCUGAGAGGAUGAUCAGCCACACUGGAACUGAGACACGGUCCAGACUCCUACGGGAGGCAGCAGUGGGGAAUAUUGCACAAUGGGCGAAAGCCUGAUGCAGCCAUGCCGCGUGUAUGAAGAAGGCCUUCGGGUUGUAAAGUACUUUCAGUUGUGAGGAAGGGGGUGACGUUAAUAGCGUUAUCUCUUGACGUUAGCAACAGAAGAAGCACCGGCUAACUCCGUGCCAGCAGCCGCGGUAAUACGGAGGGUGCGAGCGUUAAUCGSMMUUACUGGGCGUAAAGCGCAUGCAGGUGRUUCAWUAAGUCAGAUGUGAAAGCCCG